rnacentral:rRNA from 1 species
CCUACGGGAGGCAGCAGUGGGGAAUAUUGCACAAUGGGGGAAACCCUGAUGCAGCGACGCCGCGUGAGUGAAGAAGUAUUUCGGUACGUAAAGCUCUAUCAGCAGGGAAGAAAAUGACGGUACCUGACUAAGAAGCCCCGGCUAACUACGUGCCAGCAGCCGCGGUAAUACGUAGGGGGCAAGCGUUAUCCGGAUUUACUGGGUGUAAAGGGAGCGUAGACGGCAGCGCAAGUCUGGAGUGAAAUCCCAUGGCUUAACCAUGGAACUGCUUUGGAAACUGGGCAGCUAGAGUGCAGGAGAGGUAAGCGGAAUUCCUAGUGUAGCGGUGAAAUGCGUAGAUAUUAGGAGGAACACCAGUGGUGAAGGCGGCUUACUGGACUGUAACUGACGUUGAGGCUCGAAAGCGUGGGGAGCAAACAGGAUUAGAUACCCCUGUAGUC